CGGCGGACAACAAAUCAAAGUUCCAAGCAAAUAGCAACGCAAUAUGUCUUAAAUCAGGACAUAAUCAUUUGAAUUAUUUAAUAGCUUUAUUUUGGUAUUACAAUCACAGACGUGCAAGCUAAUGCAUAUUAUAAUUAACUCUAGUCGAGUUAAGUUAAGCGUACAUGCCGCGAUCGUUUAGUUUGAAAUAAUAAUGUUGACUGGUUAAGUUUAAAGUUAAUAUUGAAACUUCAACUUCAACUCAACUGUGUUUUGAAAAAAUGAUCGUCGAUCUCUUAUCUUUUAUCUUUCCAAUAGAGUAUAACUUAUAUGUGAUUUUACAAGUUGAACUCUCAUACGCAGCUGCCGCGGCAAGAAAUCGUGAUAUUUUUUUACGCCCCGGGACGUCUAAACUUCCAAACAGCUACGUCCAUAAAUUGUCCUUAUUUGACGCCUCGAGGACCGUAUUGUCAAAUACUUAGAUUUGUCUGACAACUUGAUGAGUAUAAGUAGUUACACAGAAGCAGAUGAUUUAGUGAAAGCGUUGAUGUACCUAUACAAAUCAAAAUUUGAACGAGCACCUACAGUUUUUCAGUUACUCAAAAUUAUUGUGAUUAAUAUCAAUCUAUAAAUAUUUUAUAAAAAACAAUGAAAUACAGCUUUUAACGAGAGCGCGACGAAAAAAAAAACAUAUUAAAUUUAUGGCGAAAAUCGCUAAUUGCAUGCUUUGGCCGCCGGUGGAGUAUCCUGCGGGGCUUUCCAUUGUGCCGGUAAAGGAAAAGACGUUCAAUUUAUGUAAAUAUCACAGCACAAAACCGCACCACUGUGCGAGUUAAAUGAUAAUAGUAUAAUAUUAUAAUUAUUCAUUUUUCACAAUGGACUGCUUCUGCUGCUGCUGUAGUUGUUGUCGAGUCCCUGCGGAUGGCCGGAUCUAUACCUAGGAUUUGAACAGGAAACCACAUGGGUACGGGAUAAACCAAAUGUCUCGUUACGAAAUCAGAAAUUGGCGAAGAUUUGCAUUCAACCUCCAAUUCUAACGAUCCAUAGCGAGUUGCAGUUUGGUGGUGUGAAAUCGAUGUUUUAUAAGAGGCUGGUGAAACGAUACCAGAAAUUGCAAGAUGUAAGAUGGAAGAAGAAAAAUAUUAACGACUCAACAAGGGAGAUCCUAGGCACGUGGGCUAGUUUUUUCGAUAACAAUCAUAUUUUUUCAAACUAUACUUUUAGGUGUAUUAUUAUAUUUACUAAAUAAUUUUGACUUAUUGGUACCACCUGUCACCUACCCACAUGUUUGUCGUAAACUAAGUACGAUUGGAUUAAGUAUCGAUAUCAUCUAAUGGGAAAAUUGGUAAUUUUGUAUUGAAUACCUAAUGAAUUGCUCAACGGAAGGGCGACCGACUGUGACUUGACAUCAGCUCAAAAAAAUUUUGCAGUUGCAGCACUGAAAUUAACGCAUUCUAGUGCACUCGUGUAGCGCAUUUUUGGUCAGUCCUCUCCGCAACAGCAAAUCAUUUACCAUAAUAUUGUGACUACUUCUGAAUUCAUUUAUAUUACGCUGUAUUGCAUUAUAUUCACAAAACUGUACCUACCUAAAUGGUAGACCUAAUAAAAUAUUAAAAAUCUUACAGCCGGAAGAGAAAAA